UUUAGGACAAAGGGAGAAUCGCUGAUGCCGUCGUGCCAAGAAAAGCCUCUAAGCAUAUCCAUAGUCGUCCGUACCGCAAACCGACACAGGUAGAUGAGAUGAGUAUUCUAAGGCGCGUGAAAGAACUCUGGUUAAGGAACUCUGCAAACUAGCACCGUAAGUUCGCGAUAAGGUGUGCCGCAGCAAUGCGGUCUCAGCAAAGAGUCCCUCCCGACUGUUUACCAAAAACACAGCACUUUGCCAACUCGUAAGAGGAAGUAUAAGGUGUGACGCCUGCCCGGUGCUCGAAGGUUAAGAGGAUGCGUCAGUCGCAAGAUGAAGCGUUGAAUUGAAGCCCGAGUAAACGGCGGCCGUAACUAUAACGGUCCUAAGGUAGCGAAAUUCCUUGUCGGUUAAAUACCGACCUGCAUGAAUGGCGUAACGAGAUGGGAGCUGUCUCAACCAGAGAUUCAGUGAAAUUGUAGUGGAGGUGAAAAUUCCUCCUACCCGCGGCAAGACGGAAAGACCCCGUGGACCUUUACUACAACUUAGCACUGCUAAUGGGAAUAUCAUGCGCAGGAUAGGUGGGAGGCUUUGAAGUAAGGGCUUUG
rnacentral:rRNA from 1 species